AAGUCGCGAGGCCAAGCAAAUCCCUUAAAACUGUUCGUAGUCCGGAUUGGAGUCUGCAACUCGACUCCAUGAAGUCGGAAUCGCUAGUAAUCGCGAAUCAGAAUGUCGCGGUGAAUACGUUCCCGGGCCUUGUACACACCGCCCGUCACACCAUGGGAGUGGAUUGCACCAGAAGUAGUUAGUCUAACCUUCGGGAGGACGAUUACCACGGUGUGGUUCAUGACUGGGGUGAAGUCGUAACAAGGUAGCCGUAGGGGAACCUGCGGCUGGAUCACCUCCUUAACGA
rnacentral:rRNA from 1 species